GCAGCGGUGGUUCAAUUGUAGAAUUCUCACCUUCCACGUGGGAGACCCGGGUUCAAUUCCCAGCCAAUACA
rnacentral:tRNA from 1 species